UAGCAGUGAUUAUCAAGUGUGCUUCACUUUGCAAACCAAGGAAAACAAAAUGAACAAGCUACUACUCGUCGCUCUUUUGCUCGGCAUGCUCAUGAUGGUGCAAGACUCUGAGGCUUUGCAGGCAGGACAACGACGACGACGAAGACGAAGACGACGACGUCACCCAGAACAUGAGAACAUAGAAAUGGAUUUAACAGAAGAUUUUAACAUGAACAUUGAAAAUAUCGAUGAUUUACAAGAUAAGGAACACACCAAGUUUGAAUGAUACAGACCUUCUUCUUUUACCCAUUCCAGUAAAUAAAUAACUAGCAAC